rnacentral:rRNA from 1 species
UACGUAGGGAGCGAGCGUUGUCCGGAUUUAUUGGGCGUAAAGGGCGUGUAGGCGGCUUGUUAAGUCUGGAGUGAAAAUCCGGGGCUCAACCCCGGAACGGCUUCGGAUACUGACGAGCUUGAGUGCUCUAGAGGGCAGUGGAAUUCCCGGUGUAGCAGUGAAAUGCGUAGAGAUCGGGAGGAACACCAGUGGCGAAGGCGACUGCCUGGGGAGUAACUGACGCUGAGGCGCGAAAGCUGGGGGGAGCAAACGGG